CGGGUGAGUAACACGUGGAUAACCUACCUAUAAGACUGGGAUAACUUCGGGAAACCGGAGCUAAUACCGGAUAAUAUUUUGAACCGCAUGGUUCAAAAGUGAAAGACGGUCUUGCUGUCACUUAUAGAUGGAUCCGCGCUGCAUUAGCUAGUUGGUAAGGUAACGGCUUACCAAGGCAACGAUGCAUAGCCGACCUGAGAGGGUGAUCGGCCACACUGGAACUGAGACGCGGUCCAG
rnacentral:rRNA from 1 species